CGAGGGCUCCCCUGAAGCUCAGACCAGUCACGGUGGGCCCAGGCUUCGCAGUGCCUGACACGGCCUCAGCCGCUCACCAGAGGGCAGCGGGAAGGGGCACAAGGCAGGAGGUGAGGGCACCUAUGCUGACCCAUUGCACCUAGGACGAGGUGACAGGGCUGGGUGGCCACAGCAGCAGGUGCCUGACAGCCCCGCCAUCAUUCGGAGCGGCAGGUGCAGGCUGAGAUCAACGCAAGAGGGUCAGACAGUGUGUCAGGAGUAGCAGGAACCAGGCACAACCCAUGGCAUAGCUCAGCCAUGGCUUGGGAGCUGAAGCCUGAGCCAAAGCAUGGCUCUUAGCAGAUGGUACAUGGCCCAGGUGAGGCUGAUCAGGGCAAGCGAGGUUCGUUAAUGCCCUCUGUGCCCUGCUAAUUGCUCUCUCCCACCUGUGGAGGAGUGGAGGAUAACUCCCAAGUGUAACUGGACUCCCAAGCUACACACACACACACAAAAUUGUUGGUAGAAAUUAAGGAUGGAGUCCCACAAGUAAGAAAAAGCGUGUUUCCCUGUUAAGGAGCUGCCUUGUUGGUUCAAAGGACUAUGUAACAUCUGCUGCCCUGAAGGUGACUGCAAGCGAGUGGCUUCAUCGGGCUGGCUUUCUGUUAUGCUCUGCUGCAGCCUUCCAGGAGCUCUCAAAGUGGGGAGGUUUGAAGUAAUGAACACUGAAGUUCCGUGGUUUCACAUCUGGAAAGAAAAUGAAGAGCCAGCAGAGAGAAUCUGCCAGAGACAUAACCAGGUGCGACGGUACUGGAAGAGUUGAAGACUGAGAAGCAUGUUAGAAGAUAAAGGCCGGAGGGAAAAGAACAAAGUGAUGGAAGAGACCCGUGCACAGAGGCCACAUGACUGAGACUUGUAGAGAACCUCGUAGCAGAGAAAGCUAUCCGUAGGAGGGACUGUAACUGCACCCAGCACAGCUCUCUGAAGAGCAAAUCGAAGAUGUUCACGGGGACUACAUCUUAAACAUUAAACUCUGUUCUGCCCAUCUGUGUUUCAGUAUGGGGCUGUCAAGCUUGUUCAGAGGCACGUGGUGCUUGCGCAGACGCCUUUCCAGGAAUCUGAGGUAGCCUUUUCCCAGUGCCAUAACAUGACGCUGGGAAAAUUGGAAAAGUUUACACAAAAGUGUAAAAAUGAGCACUGUUUUAUAUAGCUGUGAUAGUUCUUUUUGAAAGUGGAGCCAAGCCCUGGAAAGUGGUGAUUUUUCUCACUUUAUCCGCAAGAUUUGUAUUGACUGAAGCUGUUCUGUUGAAAAACGGGUAUUAGGCUGUGCCUUGGCCAAGCUUGAUAUACGCAGUUGUGUGUCUGCAAAA
rnacentral:lncRNA from 1 species